rnacentral:lncRNA from 1 species
AAAUAACAAAAUUUAAGUCUUGUCAAGGAACUAAAAAUAUGGAAAUUGAAAUAUAUAGUUCUAUCUUUCUAAUAUUUUAUAAUCUUGUUAUAAAAGUAAUAUUAAUUUAAAUGUAUAGGUGUGUACGUAAAAGAUAAAAAAAAAAUGAAAAAAAUAACUCAAGAAAGGAAUGAAUCCAAAGACCUUGAAGAAUAUGCCUACCAAGAUUUAACACGUCAGCCCUAAUAUGCAUAGUCACGCGCUUUGACACGAGUUGCAUAUACAGCUCUAGCAGUUCAUCG